AAUAUGUAAAAGGAUAUGCAAUAGGUAAAAUUUAGCAAAAAUAGUACAUUUUAAAACACAAAAAUUAAACACAUGUGCUGAACACAUAGAAGAUGACAAGCGACGAGCGACAUCUGUCAAAUAUUAAAAUACACGCGUUCUUUUGGGCACAGAUUUUUUGACAACAGCACAACUACGCGACAACAGGCUUGUAGUUGUCGUUGUCGCCAAAUUAGAAAUGUUUAUAAUUUUGCCGACGACAAUGGCCGCUGUAGAGCUGCCACUAACAUGUGAAAUGUAAAAUUAUUCAAAGUUCUCACAAGUAUGACGUUAUUUUUCCAGCAGAAACGUAAAAUAGCUUUGAUAUAAAAUUUAUAAUAGCAAUCGAUUAUUUAAAACAAAUAAAUAUACUAUUUUUACAUUUUUCGCACAAAUAAUUUCACUUUAAACUAAAUAUGUAAAUUUUAUUGAAGUGAAAGUUUUCAGUCCGGCAACAAUGAAAUUGCUAUUUGAUAUGUUGCUGCCAUCUUCAAAAUGUUCAAGACGCUGGCUUCAAAGCGACAUUUGUGAUCAGCCGUCGCUACGUCGUGUCGUGUCGUCGUUUUUGUGUUCAGCACUUGACAAUAAGUUCGCAUGAUCAACUUGAAAGGAACCCAGCAAGUCAUGGGUACUGAAACUCCAACACAUUCAAAGAAAUUUAAAAAACACCACUACAUACACACAUACGAAACAAAGGGUAAAAUGUGCAUAAACAUUUAACUCAACUCUUCUCUCAUACAGCACCCUGAAUGAUAGAAAGAAACAACCAAAGUUCUCGUGUUUGAACAAGUUUUGUUUUGAGCUAUAUCAUGGCUGCUUGUGAAGUAUUAUUUUGCGUGUUUUAUUUAAUUCAGUGAACUGCAGCCUAAUUAAAGUUUAAAUUUUUGAAGCACGUAUUUUUAAAUAAGUAAAACGUAAAAUAAAAGUUUUCUAAAGCCAAAAUAUGGAAUUGAAGAGAAUGAUACAGUAAUACUUCAUCGCACUGUCAAUUCGAAGCACGCAAUAGAAGCUACGCCAACAAUGGUCAACAUCAAUGGCGAAACCAUUGAAUACGUAAAUAAUUGUUGAAUAUAAUAAUAUUAUCUUGCCUUAAAUUCUAAUUAAUUUUCCACACAGAUAUUUCAACCUCAUAUGGCGCGUUUAAGGUACGCAAACUUAUUGGUGUCACUUAUUGUAGCAGCGUAGAACUUCUGAAGCGAUGGAAUAUGUGCUGCAAGCAAAUCCAAAACUAUGGAUGCAAACGCUGCUACAUGUAACACAAAUCAUUUACAAUUAAACCUUUUGGUCAACACAAGCACGUGAAGAAUUGGAACGACGUGGUUUGGGUGCUUUUGUAACCGUUUAUCAUCGCGACGUGCGUUAACUGGGUUUGGCCAAUGAUCUAGAGGGCAAAGCAGUGGCAGUAUUUAUGAACUUACCGGCACCUCAGUUGGUCGUGCCAUUAGCAGCUAAAGCACAGAAAUUAAAGGGAGGACUUUUUUGAUUCAUUUUCACCUUGUAUUGAGGAAUCAUAACGUUAUUGUAUCGCUUUACAAGGACAUGGAUUCACCGAAAUUAGUUCAAUGGAAAUACUACAGCAAGAGCAUGGAUGUUAAGACUAGAACGUUGAUAGUGCUAGAUUUAGAAUUCCUGAAACAUAAGAAACCCUCCUCCCAGAAAAUGGACGACUAGUACUAGUGAAAUUAAUGAAAGAACAGAUCUUCCAAAUCUCCUAAAGAAACCAAAAUAGUCCUCACAUAAUGUGCACAGCUUACACUUCCAGGCCGCUCGGGGUAUUUGACAUUUGCCACUCUUCCUCCAGCUUUGUCAGAUAGCAAAAAUUGUUCAAAUAUUCAAUACGUUAUACAUAUGUAUAUAAUGUAGUACGAUAAUCUAUACUAAUAUUAUAAAGCUGAAGAGUUUGUUUGUUUGUUUGUUUGAACGCGCUAAUCUCCGAAACUACUGGUUAGAAUUGAAUAAUUAUUUUUGUGUUGGAUAGUCCAUUUAUCGAGGAAGGCUAUAGGCUAUAUAGCAUCAUCAUCAAUGUGUAAAAAAGUAUAUUACUUUGUUUCUAAUAGUUUCACAGUAAUUAAUCCUUUUUUGUCGGUGAGAAUAAAUGACUGUAACAGCAUACAUUAUUUCAAAGGAUUCUUCAUCUUCUUGACUGGCGUAGACACCGUUUACGCGGUUAUAGCCGAGUCCAAAACAGCGCGCCAUGUAUCCCUCCUUCUGGCAGUUUGGCGCCAAUUGGUUAUACCAAGAGAAGCGAGGUCUCUCUCCACCUGGUCCUUCCAUCGGAGUGGAGG